rnacentral:rRNA from 1 species
AUACGGAGGGGGUUAGCGUUGUUCGGAAUUACUGGGCGUAAAGCGCACGUAGGCGGACCGGAAAGUAAGAGGUGAAAUCCCAGGGCUCAACCCUGGAACUGCCUUUUAAACUAUCGGUCUAGAGUUCGAGAGAGGUGAGUGGAAUUCCUAGUGUAGAGGUGAAAUUCGUAGAUAUUAGGAGGAACACCAGUGGCGAAGGCGGCUCACUGGCUCGAUACUGACGCUGAGGUGCGAAAGCGUGGGGAGCAAACAGGAUUAGAUACCCCAGUAGUCC